GACGAACGCUGGCGGCGUGCUUAACACAUGCAAGUCGAACGAUGAAGCUGGAGCUUGCUCUAGCGGAUUAGUGGCGAACGGGUGAGUAACACGUGAGCAAUCUGCCCUUGACUCUGGGAUAACUGCGGGAAACUGUAGCUAAUACCGGAUACUUUCACCGGGGGGCAUCCUCUGGUGAUGAAAGAAUUUCGGUCAAGGAUGAGCUCGCGGCCUAUCAGCUUGUUGGUGAGGUAACGGCUCACCAAGGCGACGACGGGUAACCGGCCUGGGAGGGUGACCGGUCACACUAGAACUGAGACACGGCCCAGACUCCUACGGGAGGCAGCAGUGGUGAAUAUUGCACAAUGGGCGCAAGCCUGAUGCAGCAACGCCGCGUGAGGGAUGAAGGCCUUCGGGUUGUAAACCUCUUUUAGCAGGGAAGAAGCGAAAGUGACGGUACCUGCAGAAAAAGCACCGGCUAACUACGUGCCAGCCGCCGCCGUAA
rnacentral:rRNA from 1 species